ACACGGACCAAGGAGUGCAACAUGCGCGCGAGUCCUUGGGUGGCAAACCCGGGAGGCGCAAUGAAGGUGAAGGCAAGGCGUAUGGCCUGCUUGGGCGAGAGCUUCACAGUCUAAACGACGGAGCGCAUCGUCGACCGAUCCUGGGCCACGCUGUGGUGGGAUUUGAGUGAGAGCGUGCCUGUUGCGACCCGAAAGAUGGUGAACUAUGCCUGAAUAGGGUGAAGCCAGAGGAAACUCUGGUGGAAGCUCGCAGCGAUUCUGACGUGCAAAUCGAUCGUCAAAUUUGGGUAUAGGGGCGAAAGACUAAUCGAACCGUCUAGUAGCUGGUUCCCUCCGAAGUUUCCCUCAGGAUAGCUGGAGCCCGGUGCAGUUUUAUCAGGUAAAGCGAAUGAUUAGAGGUCUUGGGGUUGAAACAACCUCAACCUAUUCUCAAACUUUAAAUGGGUAAGAAGCUCGGCUUGCUUCGCUGAAGUCGGGCAGAGAAUGCCGGGGUUCCUAGUGGGCCAUUUUUGGUAAGCAGAACUGGCGAUGUGGGAUGAACCAAAUGCCGGGUUAAGGUGCCCGAAUCGACGCUCAUCAGACCCCAUGAAAGGUGUUSGUUGAUCUAGACAGCAGGACGGUGGCCAUGGAAGUCGGAACCCGCCAAGGAGUGUGUAACAACU
rnacentral:rRNA from 1 species